UGUCUGUUCGCGGGUUAUUGGUGUGCAGGCCAUAAACUGUUCCCUAAUUUCGUCAGGCAGUUGCAAAGGUUGGAACUGUGAAAUUUUUAUAUAUAAUUUAUUAAUUUCUAAUAAGGCCUGCCGAGGACUGGAGGUAGCCAGUAAUUAUGGUUAAUUGCAAUAGUACAUUAUUUAUUUUAUUGGGUAUUCUAAUUUGGUUUGAAGAAGAAAUCUUAUGUUUGGAAAAUCGAGCAAGCAGAUCAGAUUUUGAGCAUGGUAAUAAAUCUCUUAGUCGAAUUGCAUUUGGUAGUUGUAUGAAG